rnacentral:rRNA from 1 species
AAUCAACGCUGGCGGCGUGCCUCAGACAUGCAAGUCGAACGCGAAACCUUCCUUCGGGAGGGGAGUAGAGUGGCGCACGGGUGAGUAACACGUAGGUAAUUUGCCUUCGGGUGGGGAAUAACAGCCGGAAACGGCUGCUAAUACCGCAUAAUGCAGCGGCUCGACAUCGAGACAGUUGUUAAAGCGGGGGAUUCGCAAGAACCUCGCGCCUGAAGAGAAGCCUGCGGCAGAUUAGCUAGUUGGUAGGGUAAUGGCCUACCAAGGCGACGAUCUGUAACCGGCCUGAGAGGGCGGUCGGUCACACUGACACUGACAUACGGGUCGAGACUCCUACGGGAGGCAGCAGUCGGGAAUUUU